CUCUGGUGUCGGCCAUAAUAGCAUCAUACAUUUCAUUCUCCUGUCCCCAAAUAUUUUAUCAGAUACAGAACUACAGUAAGGGGAGACAUGUUAUCAAUAUCAAUAAAGGGGACAGAGAUCUAAUGAAGAUUUACUGAAUUCAUAAAAACUCCAAACACAUCUUAAUCUUACUACAAAUAUAAAUAAAAAUGACUUUUUUUGAAUAAAUUCCCAUCACACAGCGCCCCAACCUGUAACCCCUACACUCCAAUUCAUUAACCAUUUGGUAUUUUUGAGAUAUCCAGUAUAUGUAUUAUAUUGAAUAUAUGUCAUUUGAUCGGCUAUAGGGCUUCAUCUAAUGGCCUAUGACAUCACACAUGUGACAUCACGGAAUGUCUCCUAUGUUCACCCACCGGCAUGAAACUUCUCUCAGAUCUGUGGAGUUGAGCAGUAAGUCCAGUUGUCUUUAUCUCCUGUUCCUUAUUAUUUCUGAUCUUCUACCUACUGGAUAUGUUUUCCCGUCCUAUGACAAGCCCUCUGUACUCUCUCGCCAUUCUGAUCUCCUCCAUAUCUGACCAGUGAUAAUAAUAUGAUAUAGAGAAGAUCUUACCAGAAAGUCCAUAAUCAUGUUUUCUGUUUUAUUUUUAUUUCAAGGAUUUUUCCGAGCUUUGGAAAGAGAAAUUCGCAAGAAAAAAUGGCAAAUUACGGUCUCAAGUCCUGGACCAGCAUCCAGAAUUUGGAUGAAGAUGAGCCGGCAGAGAUCAUCACCCCAUCUGCAGAGGCAAAGAUCAGG